rnacentral:rRNA from 1 species
UACGUAGGGACCGAGCGUUGUCCGGAUUUAUUGGGCGUAAAGAGCGUGUAGGCGGCCGGGAAGGUCAGUGGGGAAAACUCGAGGCUCAACCUCGAGACGCCGGUUGAAACCAUCUGGCUAGAGUCCGGAAGAGGAGAGUGGAAUUCCUGGUGUAGCGGUGAAAUGCGCAGAUAUCAGGAAGAACACCCGUGGCUAAGGCGGCUCUCUAGUACGGUACUGACGCUGAGACGCGAAAGCGUGGGGAGCGAACAGG